rnacentral:misc_RNA from 1 species
GAUGAAGAACGCAGCGAAAUGCGAUAAGUAAUGUGAAUUGCAGAAUUCAGUGAAUCAUCGAGUCUUUGAACGCACAUUGCGCCCCCUGGUAUUCCGGGGGGCAUGCCUGUCCGAGCGUCAUUGCUGCCCUCAAGCACGGCUUGUGUGUUGGGCCCCCGUCCCCGGUUCUCCCCGGGGACGGGCCCGAAAGGCAGCGGCGGCACCGCGUCCGAUCCUCGAGCGUAUGGGGCUUUGUCACCCGCUCUGUAGGCCCGGCCGGCGCCAGCCGACACCCCAACUUUAUUUUCUAAGGUUGACCUCGGAUCAGGUAGGGAUACCCGCUGAACUUAAGCAUAUCAAUAAGCGAGGA